rnacentral:lncRNA from 1 species
CCCUGCGCUUGCCUACCCUCUUUUUCUCCAACCCAGCAGCUGAGCUCUGGGCGCAGCCUGCAGCGCGUGAGCACGCAGCCCGGCCCCCCGCACGAGCACACACACUCACACGCGCGCGCACACCCGCCAGCCGCGCCGAGCGCCCCAUGCCCGCCCGCACACAAGGCAUGCGAGCGCGCACACGCCCAGGCCCCGGGGGUUUGGUUUGCACACGUGGGGCCCCAGAAAUAUACACCCAAUGUCCUCUGUGAAUUUUACCACCUCUGACGCCCCAGCGGGCCACAGGCCUUUUCAAGGGACACAGCGACACCUGUUUUAGGGGGCGAGUAGGGCACCGGGGAAGGAGUCUCUGAUACGACAAUUUUCGGAUACUAGUGAUUUACCAAUCAACUCUCAGCGCUUUAGGAAAUUUCCAAGGCAAGCACUAGUGUGCGGACUUCUUUCUAAUCUUGAUGCGCCUCUUGGGGUUAUUUGUUGGGCUACACACACACGUACCCACACGCACACACGUAUAUCACGUACGCACACGCACACCCGGACCCACACACACCUGCACUGUCUUUUGAUGAUCGGCACAGACCCUGCGUGGGUGUUGCCUACCCUGCAACAGAAUACUUCUGCAGCUGGGUUUGCGCUCGGUGCAAGGUGCUAUCGACCACAGCUUGAGUCAAAAUCGAAAAAUUAACAGGGCUCUUUCCUUUCUAAACGACUUUAAGCUCUGGUUUUCUUCCCUUCUUCUGCACCAAACAGAAAAACAGAAGUCUAAAUUGUAGCGUCUUUAAUAAAAUGCUAAAGAAGGCAUUGGCCAACUUUAAUCCUUAAGCCUGUGGAGAGAGAAAAAUGAAAACGACCCCCAAAAUUUUGCCAAACUACACUAGAGGACGUCAAGCUGUCAAACUGUAGAAAUGCAAACGGAUUAAGGAGAAGCAUUGAAUUUGCUUCUCCAGGCAGCGUGCCCUCCAGGGCCAAAUUUUUCGUCCCCAUACUCAGACAUUUGGAGAUGCAUAGACAGAGAAAGGGGGAGAAAGGUGCAAAAUAACGGGGGUAGGACAGGCUAUGGAGGGUAAGGAGCUGAGGGGGAGCCGCGGGGGUCCUAUUGCAGCACUUGGCUACGUGAGGUGUCUGCAAUGUGCGGCUUCUUACCCACGUCCCGCGGGAGCCGCAGACUCCCAGGCAGCCGCCCUGGCCCUGGAGGCGGAGCCACGUCGCCCCGCCCUGGUUAUGUCACCCGCCUGCGGGCGGGCGGUUAGGGGCUCGCCUUCCGGCGUUCAGGGGCACAGUGGUGGCCCCGGUGUUUUCCUUUCCCGAGCUCGGAGGCUCCGGGAAGAACC